rnacentral:lncRNA from 1 species
GCGCCUGAAGCAAACCGGGCACGCUGGUCCCUGCUUGCGGAGCGCUCUGCGGAAGGGCUGCGCAGAGGUGCGGUACCCCGCGCGUUUCCCCUUACUUCAGCCCGCAGGCCCUGUCCUCCUCCCGCGCGCCUCGCCCCCCUCAGCAGCGGGAGGCGGGUCCGGAGGAGCCGCGCCCGCCCGGGGCGGACAGCUGCUGGGAGCCGCACGCAGCCACCGCGGGGCGGGCCUGCGAGUGCGGCGCUGGGCCGGGCAGGGCUGGGCCGCGCCGCGGCUGUCUCUGAGGCGCGGGGGAUGGACGAGGGUCACCGCGGCGGGCACAGGCGACGGGCGGCUCAGGGCCAGUUCCAAGCGAAGCAGUCAAAUAAAACUUGGAAUGAUUUCUCAUCGGCUGAGGAAAGGAAGGUGGUUCUGAAUCAAUGGCAGGUACGUGUGAGGCUGCCAAAUUAAGUACCUGAUUGCACAGAGCAUGUCUGCUACCCAGCUGGCCUGGGUGAUGUGCCCAACUGCCUGUUGUUGGAGAGGGAAUGGGAAUUCUUACAGUUUCUUGAUCUCAUUACCUGUGCGUGGUGAGGAAAUGUGCUUUCUUAUUUCUCGAUUCUUCAGCUUUUUGUAGGCAGGAGUCCUCUCUUACGAUUUAGAAUUUUAGCUGUUUUGAUUAGCAGUGAUUUCUUUCUUCCUAUUGAUAGAAGACUGACAAAGUUUUGUUGGUGUUUUGGGUUUNUGUAGAUAUUCUGGACUGCACGUCAGAGAAAACAGAGAAAAAGGGCCAUAGUGAUUUUGGAGUUAAAAUCCCAUUUUCUGACAAGCUGAUUUUUUUCCACAUCAGAACUAGGAUUUAGGCCAGAAUCUGUGAGAAACAGAUGCCUGCUUCAUGCCAGCAAUGCAAUUGUCACUGAGAUUUAAUGAGUUUGUUACUUCGCUUAUGUGGUAUGGCUUUUGUUGUGUUUUAGGUUUUUUGAUUGUUUCUUCUGAAAGAUCUGAUAGUUUUCUGGUUAAUUGGAGUAAUGGUCUUUGUGCACGUGUUCAUAGAAUUUGCUCCUGUCACUGCUAGGGUAGAUGAGGCAUCUCUUCUAUCAUCUCUUUGUAAGGCAAAAGCACCUAUAGCUCAAGGUUCUACAAUUAAAAUACUCCCAGGUAAACGGGUAUAGAGGAGUUCAAUGUCUGGAACUGUUACACUGGGCAGAGGACAAGGAGAAUAACUUGGUAUUUCAGAACUCAGUGAACCGGAUUGGCAGCCAGUGGUCCAAUGAGUAUCAAGGAUGGGUUAUGGCUUCACAGCACAAUAGGCAGUUUUUCUAAUGCUACUACAUUUUAAGGCUAUUUCAAGGUAAGCAGAGCUGAGACCGGGAGGAGCACAGAUUGGGGUAAUUUAUAGGUAUGCAGUUAUGAAAGCUAUGCGUGUUUUUGCACUCACUGUAAUUUUCCAUUAUCUUGUGGCACUGGGUAAUGUCGCUUACACCUAUGGAAAGUUUAAAACACACUAAUUCUUCCUACUAUAACAUUCACGUCCACUUUGUGCCAGAGUAGUGAGCAUUUUCCUUUGGAAAAUUUUUAUAUGCUUUUGUUGUGUUCACAAGGACUUGUUCCUUGUGUUACUUUAUAUGCAAAUUAAAUGUAAAUGCUUUUGAUUUGUAUUUGCAUGAGAAGUAACACAUUCUGGGUUUCUGAUUUAGAAUAAAUUUGUGAAGAUACCGGUGAGUCUGUGAAUUAAUGAAGAAAGCACAGCAGAUUAUUUCAUGAA